ACCAGGAGCCAUAUCACCCUGCAACUCAUAACUGAAGCUCAGCAGGUGUGAGCCUGGCCAGUACCUGGAUGAGAGACCUCCUGGGAAAGCUAAGGUUGCUGCUGGAA
rnacentral:rRNA from 1 species